CUACGGGAGGCAGCAGUGGGGAAUCUUGCACAAUGGAGGAAACUCUGAUGCAGCGAUGCCGCGUGAGUGAAGAAGGCCCUUGGGUUGUAAAGCUCUUUUGUCGGGAAAGAUAAUGACUGUACCCGAAGAAUAAGGUCCGGCUAACUUCGUGCCAGCAGCCGCGGUAAUACGAAGGGACCUAGCGUAAUUCGGAAUUACUGGGCGUAAAGCGCGCGUAGGCGGUUAAGUAAGUUAAUUGUGAAAGCCCAAAGCUCAACUUUGGAAUUGCAAUUAAAACUACUUAGCUAGAGUUUAUCAGAGGAAAGCGGAAUACAUAGUGUAGAGGUGAAAUUCGUAGAUAUUAUGUAGAACACCAGUUGCGAAGGCGGCUUUCUGGGAUAACACUGACGCUGAGGUGCGAAAGUAUGGGUAGCGAAGAGGAUUAGAUACCCUCGUAGUCCAUACCGUAGACGAUGAUUGUUAGAUGUUGGGAAUUUAUUUUCAGUAUCACAGCUAACGCGUUAAACAAUCCGCCUGGGGAGUACGACCGCAAGGUUAAAACUCAAAGGAAUUGACGGA
rnacentral:rRNA from 1 species